ACCAGCGCUCAAGACAGUGCGAUUGGGAAGGCUUUUUGCUUGCAUGGUAUUUUGCUAUGCGUUCCUACUUGCUAUUCAUUGAGCGCAGAAGAAUGUACUGGAUCUUUUAAGAGCUUGUGAACUUAAGCUUUCCUACUUGUACACGAGUGUCAGAGGAUCCAUAUAUG
rnacentral:snoRNA from 1 species